UGAAUACGAGACGCUACGGCGUCGAAGCAGUCUAUGUCAUACUUCCAAGAAAAGCUCGCAAUGUCAUAAACAAAUAAUGCCUGUACCAUAACCGACACAGGUGGGUAGGUAGAGUAUACUAAGGGGCGCGAGAUAACUCUCUCUAAGGAACUCGGCAAAAUGACUCCGUAACUUCGGGAGAAGGAGUGCCUUAUUUAUAAGGUUGCAAUAACAAGAUCCAAGCAACUGUUUAUCAAAAACACAGGUCUCCGCUAAGUCGUAAGACGAUGUAUGGGGGCUGACGCCUGCCCAGUGCCAGAAGGUUAAAGAAGUUGGUUAGCAUUCGCGAAGCUGAUAACUGAAGCCCUGGUGAACGGCGGCCGUAACUAUAACGGUCCUAAGGUAGCGAAAUUCCUUGUCGGGUAAGUUCCGACCCGCACGAAAGGCGUAAUGAUUUGGAUACUGUCUCGGAGAGGGGCUCGGUGAAAUAGACUUGUCUGUGAAGAUGCGGACUACCUGCACCUGGACAGAAAGACCCUAUGAAGCUUUACUGUAACUUGAAAUUGAAAUUGGACUUUAUUUGCGCAGCAUAGGUGGGAGGCGUUGAGAGUAUUCUUGCGGGAAUAUUGGAGCCAUCAGUGAGAUACCACUCUUGUAAUGUUAGAUUUCUAACUUUGUAUCAUUAUCUGGUCAAAGAACAGUUUCAGGCGGGCAGUUUGACUGGGGCGGUCGCCUCCCAAACGGUAACGGAGGCGUACAAAGGUUUCCUCUGAACGGGUAGAAAUCGUAUCUAGAGUGUAAAGGCAUAAGGAAGCUUGACUGUGAGACCUACAAGUCGAGCAGGGACGAAAGUCGGUCUUAGUGAUCUGACGGUGCUGAGUGGAAAGGCCGUCACUCAACGGACAAAAGUUACUCUAAGGAUAACAGGCUGAUCUCCCCCAAGAGUUCACAUCGACGGGGAGGUUUGGCACCUCGAUGUCGGCUCAUCGCAUCCUGGGGCGGUAGUACGUCCCAAGGGUUGGGCUGUUCGCCCAUGAAAGCGGUACGCGAGCUGGGUUCAGAACGUCGUGAGACAGUUCGGUCCAUAUCCGGUGUAGGCGUUAGAAUAUUGAGAGGAGCCUUCUUUAGUACGAGAGGACCGAGAAGGACAUACCUCUGGUGUACCAGUUAUCGUGCCAACGGUAAACGCUGGGUAUCUAUGUAUGGAGAGGAUAACCGCUGAAAGCAUCUAAGUGGGAAGCCCACCUCAAGAUAAGUAUUCUCGU
rnacentral:rRNA from 1 species